AAACUGCAAGUCGAGCGGUAGAGAGAAGCUUGCUUCUCCUGAGAGCGGCGGACUUGUGGGUUAUGCCUAGGAAUCUGCCUGGUAGUGGGGGAUAACGUUCGGAAGCGGACGCUAAUAGCCACUACGUCCUACGGGAGAAAGCAGGGGACCUUCGGGCCUUGCGCUAUCAGAUGAGCCUAGGUCGGAUUAGCUAGUUGGUGAGGUAAUGGCUCACCAAGGCGACGAUCCGUAACUGGUCUGAGAGGAUGAUCAGUCACACUGGAACUGAGACACGGUCCAGACUCCUACGGGAGGCAGCAGUGGGGAAUAUUGGACAAUGGGCGAAAGCCUGAUCCAGCCAUGCCGCGUGUGUGAAGAAGGUCUUCGGAUUGUAAAGCACUUUAAGUUGGGAGGAAGGGUUGUAGAUUAAUACUCUGCAAUGGUGACGUUACCGACAGAAUAAGCACCGGCUAACUCUGUGCCAGCAGCCGCGGUAAUACAGAGGGUGCAAGCGUUAAUCGGAAUUACUGGGCGUAAAGCGCGCGUAGGUGGUUUGUUAAGUUGGAUGUGAAAUCCCCGGGCUCAACCUGGGAACUGCAUUCAAAACUGACUGACUAGAGUAUGGUAGAGGGUGGUGGAAUUUCCUGUGUAGCGGUGAAAUGCGUAGAUAUAGGAAGGAACACCAGUGGCGAAGGCGACCACCUGGACUAAUACUGACACUGAGGUGCGAAAGCGUGGGGAGCAAACAGGAUUAGAUACCAUGGUAGUCCACGCCGUAAACGAUGUCAACUAGCCGUUGGAAGCCUUGAGCUUCCAGUGGCGCAGCUAACGCAUUAAGUUGACCGCCUGGGGAGUACGGCCGCAAGGUCAAAACUCAAAUGAAUUGACGGGGGCCCGCACAAGCGGUGGAGCAUGUGGUACAAUUCGAAGCAACGCGAAGAACCUUACCAGGCCUUGACAUCCAAUGAACUUUCUAGAGAUAGAUUGGUGCCUUCGGGAACAUUGAGACAGGUGCUGCAUGGCUGUCGUCAGCUCGUGUCGUGAGAUGUUGGGUUAAGUCCCGUAACGAGCGCAACCCUUGUCCUUAGUUACCAGCACGUYAUGGUGGGCACUCUAAGGAGACUGCCAAUGACAAACCGGAGGAAGGUGGGGAUGACGUCAAGUCAUCAUGGCCCUUACGGCCUGGGCUACACACGUGCUACAAUGGUCGGUACAGAGGGUUGCCAAGCCGCGAGGUGGAGCUAAUCCCAUAAAACCGAUCGUAGUCCGGAUCGCAGUCUGCAACUCGACUGCGUGAAGUCGGAAUCGCUAGUAAUCGCGAAUCAGAAUGUCGCGGUGAAUCAGUUCCCGGGCCUUGUACACACCGCCCGUCACACCAUGGGAGUGGGUUGCACCAGAAGUAGCUAGUCUUACCUUCGGGAGGACGGUACCACGG
rnacentral:rRNA from 1 species